GCCCCAGUAGCGUAAUGGACUAACGCAUCGGCCUCCUAAGCCGGGGAUUGAGGGUUCGAGUCCCUCCUGGGGUA
rnacentral:tRNA from 1 species